GGAGCCUGUGCAAUCAUCUCAGAGAAUUAAAACAACAUCCUGUCCCAAGGACCACAACCGAGAAACCACCGGCUUUCAAGGCAAAGCCAGGUCCCCUGCGAAGAGAGCUCGUCAAUGUGCUCUCGGGGCGAGUUUCCAGCCCAGCUACUAGGCCACGACUGGAUUUAUUAAUAGGAAAUCUGCUGUAAAGAAGAACUUUUCCUCACCAACCUCGGAUAUUGGUUAUCCUGAAAUACAGUUCAUACAGAAAAGGCAAGAGAGGGCAGAGGUCUUCGUCGAUACUGUUCACUGACAUGUUCCAAGUGCUGGAAUAUCGUCUGGACUACACAGGCCACUCAAUAAAUAUUUUUGAAUUGAAUUGAAAUCCAUACAUUGGAAUACUAUGUAACUCUUAAAAAAAUAAAUGUACACCUGUCUAUACUGACAUGGCAUAAUACUUAUAUUGUUGAGAGAAAAAAGCAGAUUACAGAACAGUGAAUACAGGAUGAGUGCAUUUUUAUAAAAUAUGUAUAUUUUAAAUGUAUCAAAAAUAGGAUGGAUUAAUGGGUGAAUAUGUGAUAAAACAUACAAUAAAAUGUUAAUUGUAGAAUUUAGAUGGUGGCUAUAUGGGUUUUUCCUGUUCAAUUUAUUCAGUUUUCAUUUAUUUUAUUAUGAAAAUGUUCAUCACAAAAUGUUGGAACAAUAUGUGUGUAAAAAUCUGUAUUUCUGAAGAGUGGGUUUGGGGGUAAGGAUGGAAAUUUUCAGGUUAUAUACUUUCUAUAAAGCAAAAAUUGUAAAUGA